CCUACGGGAGGCAGCAGUGAGGAAUAUUGGUCAAUGGGCGGAAGCCUGAACCAGCCAAGUAGCGUGCAGGAUGACGGCCCUACGGGUUGUAAACUGCUUUUAUACGGGAAUAACGCGCCUUACGUGUAGGGCUUUGCAUGUACCGUAUGAAUAAGGACCGGCUAAUUCCGUGCCAGCAGCCGCGGUAAUACGGAAGGUCCGGGCGUUAUCCGGAUUUAUUGGGUUUAAAGGGAGCGUAGGCCGGAUGUCAAGCGUGCUGUGAAAUGUCCGGGCUCAACCCGGGCCUCGCAGGGCGAACUGGCGUGCUUGAGACCGCGGAAGGCAGGCGGAAUUAGUCGUGUAGCGGUGAAAUGCUUAGAUAUGACGAAGAACCCCGAUAGCGAAGGCAGCUUGCCGGAGCGGAACUGACGCUGAUGCUCGAAAGCGCGGGUAUCGAACAGGAUUAGAUACCCGAGUAGUC
rnacentral:rRNA from 1 species